rnacentral:rRNA from 1 species
AUACGAAGGUCCCAAGCGUUAUUCGGAAUCACUGGGCGUAAAGAGUACGUAGGCGGUUUGGUAAGUCAGGUGUGAAAUCCCGGAGCUCAACUCCGGAACUGCAUCCGAUACUGCCAGACUUGAGUAAUGGAGAGGCAGGUGGAAUUCUCGGUGUAGCAGUGAAAUGCGUGGAUAUCGAGAGGAAUACCAAUGGCGAAGGCAGCCUGCUGGACAUUUACUGACGCUGAGGUACGAAGGCUAGGGGAGCGAAAGGGAUUAGAAACCCCGGUAGUCC